rnacentral:rRNA from 1 species
UACGAACUGUGCGAACGUUAUUCGGAAUCACUGGGCUUAAAGGGUGCGUAGGCGGUCCGCCCAGUCAGGUGUGAAAUCCCCCGGCUCAACCGGGGAAUAGCGCUUGAAACUAGCGGGCUGGAGUGGGGCAGGGGUGUGUGGAACUUCCGGUGGAGCGGUGAAAUGUGUAGAUAUCGGAAGGAACGCCGGUGGCGAAAGCGGCACACUGGGCCUUGUCUGACGCUGAGGCACGAAAGCUAGGGGAGUGAACGGG